GAUGAACGCUGGCGGCGUGCCUAAUACAUGCAAGUCGAGCGAACGGACGAGAAGCUUGCUUCUCUGAUGUUAGCGGCGGACGGGUGAGUAACACGUGGAUAACCUACCUAUAAGACUGGGAUAACUUCGGGAAACCGGAGCUAAUACCGGAUAAUAUUUUGAACCGCAUGGUUCAAAAGUGAAAGACGGUCUUGCUGUCACUUAUAGAUGGAUCCGCGCUGCAUUAGCUAGUUGGUAAGGUAACGGCUUACCAAGGCAACGAUGCAUAGCCGACCUGAGAGGGUGAUCGGCCACACUGGAACUGAGACACGGUCCAGACUCCUACGGGAGGCAGCAGUAGGGAAUCUUCCGCAAUGGGCGAAAGCCUGACGGAGCAACGCCGCGUGAGUGAUGAAGGUCUUCGGAUCGUAAAACUCCGUUAUUAGGGAAGAACAUAUGUGUAAGUAACUGUGCACAUCUUGACGGUACCUAAUCAGAAAGCCACGGCUAACUACGCG
rnacentral:rRNA from 1 species